rnacentral:rRNA from 1 species
GAUGAACGCUGGCGGCGUGCCUAAUACAUGCAAGUAGAACGCUGAAGGAAGGAGCUUGCUCUUUCCGGAUGAGUUGCGAACGGGUGAGUAACGCGUAGGUAACCUGCCUGGUAGCGGGGGAUAACUAUUGGAAACGAUAGCUAAUACCGCAUAACAGUAGAUGUUGCAUGACAACUAUUUGAAAGGGGCAAUUGCUCCACUACCAGAUGGACCUGCGUUGUAUUAGCUAGUUGGUGAGGUAACGGCUCACCAAGGCGACGAUACAUAGCCGACCUGAGAGGGUGAUCGGCCAAACUGGGACUGAGACACGGCCCAGACUCCUACGGGAGGCAGCAGUAGGGAAUCUUCGGAAAGGGACGGAAGUCUGACCGAGCAACGCCGCGGGAGGGAAGAAGGUUUUCGGAUCGUAAAGCUCUGUUGUAAGAGAAGAAAGAGUGUGAGAGUGGAAAGUUCACACUGUGACGGUAUCUUAACAGAAAGGGACGGCUAACUACGUG